rnacentral:rRNA from 1 species
AACGAACGCUGGCGGCAGGCUUAACACAUGCAAGUCGAACGCCCCGCAAGGGGAGUGGCAGACGGGUGAGUAACGCGUGGGAACAUACCCUUUUCUACGGAAUAGCGCUGGGAAACUGGAAUUAAUACCGUAUACGCCCUACGGGGGAAAGAUUUAUCGGGGAAGGAUUGGCCCGCGUUGGAUUAGCUAGUUGGUGGGGUAAAGGCCUACCAAGGCGACGAUCCAUAGCCGGUCUGAGAGGAUGAUCAGCCACAUUGGGACUGAGACACGGCCCAAACUCCUACGGGAGGCAGCAGUGGGGAAUAUUGGACAAUGGGCGCAAGCCUGAUCCAGCCAUGCCGCGUGAGUGAUGAAGGCCUUAGGGUUGUAAAGCUCUUUCACCGAUGAAGAUAAUGACGGUAGUCGGAGAAGAAGCCCCGGCUAACUUCGUGCCAGCCGCCGCCGUAAUAC